rnacentral:rRNA from 1 species
UACGAAGGGGGCUAGCGUUGUUCGGAAUUACUGGGCGUAAAGGGCGCGUAGGCGGUCCUGAUCGUCGGAUGUGAAAGGCCUGGGCUCAACCUGGGAAUGGCAUCCGAUACGGCGGGACUGGAGUGUGGGAGAGGUUGGUGGAAUUCCCAGUGUAGAGGUGAAAUUCGUAGAUAUUGGGAAGAACACCGGUGGCGAAGGCGGCCAACUGGACCACAACUGACGCUGAGGCGCGAAAGCGUGGGAGCAAACAGG